rnacentral:rRNA from 1 species
UGGGGAAUAUUGGACAAUGGGCGAAAGCCUGAUCCAGCCAUGCCGCGUGUGUGAAGAAGGUCUUCGGAUUGUAAAGCACUUUAAGUUGGGAGGAAGGGCAGUAAGCGAAUACCUUGCUGUUUUGACGUUACCGACAGAAUAAGCACCGGCUAACUCUGUGCCAGCAGCCGCGGUAAUACAGAGGGUGCAAGCGUUAAUCGGAAUUACUGGGCGUAAAGCGCGCGUAGGUGGUUCGUUAAGUUGAAUGUGAAAGCCCCGGGCUCAACCUGGGAACUCCUUCCAAACCUGGCGACCUGGAGUAGGCCAGAGGGUGUUGGAAUUUCCUGUUUACCGGUGAAUUCCUUAGAUAUAGUAAGGAACACCAUUGGCAAAGCCAACCACCUGGCCUCUUCCUGCCACUGAGUUCCAAAAGCGUGGGAGCAAACAGG